rnacentral:rRNA from 1 species
CCCUGGCUCAGGACGAACGCUGGCGGCGUGCCUAAUACAUGCAAGUCGAGCGGGUUUAUCCUUCGGGAUAAGCUAGCGGCGGACGGGUGAGUAACACGUAGGUAACCUGCCUUUAAGACUGGGAUAACUAUCGGAAACGAUAGCUAAGACCGGAUAACUGGUUUUCUCGCAUGAGAGAAUCAUAAAACACGGAGCAAUCUGUGGCUUGAAGAUGGGCCUGCGGCGCAUUAGCUAGUUGGUGAGGUAACGGCUCACCAAGGCGACGAUGCGUAGCCGACCUGAGAGGGUGAACGGCCACACUGGGACUGAGACACGGCCCAGACUCCUACGGGAGGCAGCAGUAGGGAAUCUUCCGCAAUGGACGCAAGUCUGACGGAGCAACGCCGCGUGAGUGAUGAAGGUUUUCGGAUCGUAAAGCUCUGUUGCCCUAGACGAACAGCAUGAGGAGUAACUGCCUUGUGUGUGACGGUAUAGGAGAAGAAAGCCCCGGCUAACUA